CCGCUGACCGGUGCAGAGAUGCAUCUUUAUCCUUCGGGGUACAGCGGACACAGGUGGUGCAUGGUUGUCGUCAGCUCGUGUCGUGAGAUGUUGGGUUAAAGUCCCGCAACGAGCGCAACCCUUGUCUUUAGUUGCCAUCAUUAAGUUGGGCACUCUAAAGAGACUGCCGAUGACAAAUCGGAGGAAGGUGGGGAUGACGUCAAAUCAUCAUGCCCUUUAUGUCCUGGGCUACACACGUGCUACAAUGGUCGGUACAACGAGAAGCAAGCCAGCGAUGGCAAGCAAAUCUCUAAAAGCCGAUCCCAGUUCGGAUUGCAGGCUGCAACUCGCCUGCAUGAAGUCGGAGUUGCUAGUAAUCGCGGAUCAGAAUGCCGCGGUGAAUGCGUUCCCGGGUCUU
rnacentral:rRNA from 2 species